rnacentral:misc_RNA from 1 species
CCGAGUUAUACAACUCAUCAACCCUGUGAACAUACCUAAAACGUUGCUUCGGCGGGAACAGACGGCCCUGUAACAACGGGCCGCCCCCGCCAGAGGACCCCUAACUCUGUUUUAUAAUGUAUCCUCUGAGUGUUAAAAGCAAAUGAAAUCA